GAUGAACGCUGGCGGCGUGCCUAAUACAUGCAAGUCGAGCGAACAGAUGAGGAGCUUGCUCCUCUGACGUUAGCGGCGGACGGGUGAGUAACACGUGGAUAACCUACCUAUAAGACUGGGAUAACUUCGGGAAACCGGAGCUAAUACCGGAUAAUAUAUUGAACCGCAUGGUUCAAUAGUGAAAGACGGUUUUGCUGUCACUUAUAGAUGGAUCCGCGCCGCAUUAGCUAGUUGGUAAGGUAACGGCUUACCAAGGCAACGAUGCGUAGCCGACCUGAGAGGGUGAUCGGCCACACUGGAACUGAGACACGGUCCAGACUCCUACGGGAGGCAGCAGUAGGGAAUCUUCAGCAAUGGGCGAAAGCCUGACGGAGCAACGCCGCGUGAGUGAUGAAGGUCUUCGGAUCGUAAAACUCUGUUAUUAGGGAAGAACAAAUGUGUAAGUAACUAUGCACGUCUUGACGGUACCUAAUCAGAAAGCCACGGCUAACUCCGUG
rnacentral:rRNA from 1 species